rnacentral:rRNA from 1 species
GAUGAACGCUGGCGGCGUGCCUAAUACAUGCAAGUCGAGCGAACGGACGAGAAGCUUGCUUCUCUGAUGUUAGCGGCGGACGGGUGAGUAACACGUGGAUAACCUACCUAUAAGACUGGGAUAACUUCGGGAAACCGUAGCUAAUACCGGAUAAUAUUUUGAACCGCAUGGUUCAAAAGUGAAAGACGGUCUUGCUGUCACUUAUAGAUGGAUCCGCGCUGCAUUAGCUAGUUGGUAAGGUAACGGCUUACCAAGGCAACGAUGCAUAGCCGACCUGAGAGGGUGAUCGGCCACACUGGAGCUGAGACACGGUCCAGACUCCUACGGGAGGCAGCAGUAGGGAAUCUUCCGCAAAGGGCGAAAGCCUGACGGAGCAACGCCGCGUGAGUGAUGAAGGUCUUCGGAUCGUAAAACUCUGUUAUUAGGGAAGAACAUAUGUGUAAGUAACUGUGCACAUCUUGACGGUACCUAAUCAGAAAGCCACGGCUAACUACGUG